rnacentral:rRNA from 1 species
UGGGGAAUUGUUCGCAAUGGGCGCAAGCCUGACGACGCAACGCCGCGUGGAGGAUGAAGACCUUCGGGUCGUAAACUCCUUUCGAUCGAGACGAAUGGUCCCUGGGUUAACAGCCCGGGGGAAUGACGGUACCGAGAGAAGAAGCCCCGGCUAACUCCGUGCCAGCAGCCGCGGUAAUACGGGGGGGGCAAGCGUUGUUCGGAAUUACUGGGCGUAAAGGGCUCGUAGGUGGCCAACUAAGUCAGACGUGAAAUCCCUCGGCUUAACCGGGGAACUGCGCCUGAUACUGGAUGGCUUGAGUUCGGGAGAGGGAUGCGGAAUUCCAGGUGUAGCGGUGAAAUGCGUAGAUAUCUGGAGGAACACCGGUGGCGAAGGCGGCAUCCUGGACCGACACUGACACUGAGGAGCGAAAGCCAGGGGAGCAAAC